rnacentral:rRNA from 1 species
AGCGAACGCUGGCGGCAGGCUUAACACAUGCAAGUCGAACGCCCGGGCAACCGGGAGUGGCGGACGGGUGAGUAACACGUGGGAACGUGCCCUUUGGUUCGGAACAACUCAGGGAAACUUGAGCUAAUACCGAAUGUGCCCUUCGGGGGAAAGAUUUAUCGCCAUUGGAGCGGCCCGCGUCUGAUUAGCUAGUUGGUGGGGUAAUAGCCUACCAAGGCGACGAUCAGUAGCUGGUCUGAGAGGAUGAUCAGCCACAUUGGGACUGAGACACGGCCCAAACUCCUACGGGAGGCAGCAGUGGGGAAUCUUGCGCAAUGGGCGAAAGCCUGACGCAGCCAUGCCGCGUGAAUGAUGAAGGUCUUAGGAUUGUAAAAUUCUUUCACCGGGGACGAUAAUGACGGUACCCGGAGAAGAAGCCCCGGCUAACUUCGUGCCAGCCGCCGCUGUAACAC